CUGGCUCAGGACGAACGCUGGCGGCGUGCCUAAUACAUGCAAGUCGAACGGUCUUUCUAUGGAAGCUUGCUUCCACUGAGAAGAUAGUGGCGAACGGGUGAGUAACACGUGGGUAACCUGCCCAUAAGAGGGGGGAUAACAUCCGGAAACGGGUGCUAAUACCGCAUAGUUUUCUUGAUCGCAUGAUCGGGAAAGGAAAGACGGCCUUUGUGCUGUCGCUUAUGGAUGGACCCGCGGCGUAUUAGUUAGUUGGUGAGGUAACGGCUCACCAAGACGAUGAUACGUAGCCGACCUGAGAGGGUGAUCGGCCACAUUGGGACUGAGACACGGCCUAAACUCCUACGGGAGGCAGCAGUAGGGAAUCUUCCGCAAUGGACGAAAGUCUGACGGAGCAACGCCGCGUGAGUGAAGAAAGGUUUUCGGAUCGUAAAACUCUGUUGUCAGAGAAGAACAAGUUGGAGAGUAACUGCUCCAGCCUUGACGGUAUCUGACCAGAAAGCCACGGCUAACUACGUGCCAGCCGCCGC
rnacentral:rRNA from 1 species